AUUGAACGCUGGCGGCAGGCCUAACACAUGCAAGUCGAACGAGUGGCGGACGGGUGAGUAAUGUCUGGGAAACUGCCCGAUGGAGGGGGGUAACUACUGGAAACGGUAGCUAAUACCGCAUACCCUCGGAUGUGCCCAGAUGGGAUUAGCUUGUCGGUGGGGUAACGACUCACCUAGGCGACGAUCCCUAGCUGGUCUGAGAGGAUGACCAGCGACACGGGAACUGAGACACGGGCCAGUGGCCUAAGGGAGGCAGCAGUGGGGAAUAUUGCACAAUGGGCGCAAGCCUGAUGCAGCCAUGCCGCGUGUAUGAAGAAGGCAUUCGGGUUGUAAAGUACUUUCAGCGAGGAGGCGUUACUCGCAGAAGGAGCACCGGCUAACUCCGUGCCAGCAGCCGCGGUAAUUC
rnacentral:rRNA from 1 species